AUUGAACGCUGGCGGCAUGCCUUACACAUGCAAGUCGAACGGUAACGGGCCUUCGGGUGCCGACGAGUGGCGAACGGGUGAGUAAUGUAUCGGAACGUACCUUUCAGUGGGGGAUAACGUAGCGAAAGUUACGCUAAUACCGCAUAUUCUGUGAGCAGGAAAGCAGGGGAUCGCAAGACCUUGCGCUGAUUGAGCGGCCGAUAUCAGAUUAGCUAGUUGGUGAGGUAAAGGCUCACCAAGGCGACGAUCUGUAGCGGGUCUGAGAGGAUGAUCCGCCACACUGGAACUGAGACACGGUCCAGACUCCUACGGGAGGCAGCAGUGGGGAAUUUUGGACAAUGGGGGCAACCCUGAUCCAGCCAUGCCGCGUGAGUGAAGAAGGCCUUCGGUUGUAAGCUCUUCGUCCGGGAGAAUACGUAUGGUUAAUACCUGUGCGGAGUGACGGUACCGGCGAUAAGAAGACACCGGCUAACUACGUAGCCAGCAGCCGAC
rnacentral:rRNA from 1 species